rnacentral:rRNA from 1 species
GAGGCUUUGCUGCAGCUAUAAUGCAGUCGAGCGGACAGAUGGGAGCUUGCUCCCUGAUGUUAGCGGCGGACGGGUGAGUAACACGUGGGUAACCUGCCUGUAAGACUGGGAUAACUCCGGGAAACCGGGGCUAAUACCGGAUGCUUGUUUGAACCGCAUGGUUCAAACAUAAAAGGUGGCUUCGGCUACCACUUACAGAUGGACCCGCGGCGCAUUAGCUAGUUGGUGAGGUAAUGGCUCACCAAGGCAACGAUGCGUAGCCGACCUGAGAGGGUGAUCGGCCACACUGGGACUGAGACACGGCCCAGACUCCUACGGGAGGCAGCAGUAGGGAAUCUUCCGCAAUGGACGAAAGUCUGACGGAGCAACGCCGCGUGAGUGAUGAAGGUUUUCGGAUCGUAAAGCUCUGUUGUUAGGGAAGAACAAGUACCGUUCGAAUAGGGCGGUACCUUGACGGUACCUAACCAGAAAGCCACGGCUAACUACGUGCCAGCAGCCGCGGUAAUACGUAGGUGGCAAGCGUUGUCCGGAAUUAUUGGGCGUAAAGGGCUCGCAGGCGGUUCCUUAAGUCUGAUGUGAAAGCCCCCGGCUCAACCGGGGAGGGUCAUUGGAAACUGGGGAACUUGAGUGCAGAAGAGGAGAGUGGAAUUCCACGUGUAGCGGUGAAAUGCGUAGAGAUGUGGAGGAACACCAGUGGCGAAGGCGACUCUCUGGUCUGUAACUGACGCUGAGGAGCGAAAGCGUGGGGAGCGAACACGAUUAGAUACCCUGGUAGUCCACGCCGUAAACGAUGAGUGCUAAGUGUUGAGGGGGUUUCCCCCCCUUAGUGCUGCAGCUAACCGCAUUUAUCACUCCGCCUGGCGGAGGUACGGUCGCAGGACUGAACUUAAAAAAAUUGACUGGGGCCCCGCCCACCGG